rnacentral:lncRNA from 1 species
GCCAUCAUAGCCUCUAGUGAAUCGAGACAAAGCUCUCAUUGUCUAUCUAUAUCUUCACCUCCUUACACCCUCUCAUUUAUUGAACCCUACACUCUUCAAAGUGAUUCUAACCUUCAGGGGGAAAAACAAGGUUGAUUCAGGUAAAGUGAUUUAUAAACCUACCUUUGCUUCAUGCUAAGUAGCUACCUUAAAAGUUUAUUAAUUAGUUGUUUCCCAAGUCAAAUUUGUGAGCUUUGUAUUCCUACAUGCUUUAUGAAUUGCUCAUAGUUGCUACUUGCAGAUCAAUUCAGGACUCAGCUUCAUCAACUAUAAACACAACAAUUUUUUGGUCAGGUUUAUAUAUCUUACCAUCUUUCAUGUUUGAUGAAGAAAUAAGGCUAAGUAUGCAUUUGGUUUUUGUGUAUUAGCAUAUAUAUAUAUAUAUUAUUAUGUGUGCCUGGCUCCCUGUAUGCCAUUUGUAGAGUUCAUCAGCAUGGUUGAUGGCCUUAAUGAAUGGCGUACCAGGAGCCAUGCAUGCAGUGUAUAGUUUUUUUUUGCUUCCUAUAGGUAUUCUCGCACCGGAGACAAUCUUGUCCGAGCUAAGAAUAUCCACAGGUAUGUGGGGCUAUAUGCAGUGUAUUGUGUAUAGUUUACAUAAUAGUAAAGUGAUUUCUAUCUUCUGCAUACUAAUAUAGUUGAUAAUUUUCUCUUAAAUUCAGUUUCAAAUUUUCAAUAAUAUCCUUUGUCUAUUUUAUGUUUUUUUUUCAUCAUUAUUUUGGAAAGGGUAGAGAGGAAGGGUUUGAAAUGUUUCCUAAUCUCAUUUGGUAGUGUUAGGUUAAUGAUUAAACAGUUAAUUAUAUAUGCUCAUGUCUAUUCAGCCUUUGUGGUCCAAAAUGUCAUUGACUUAGCUAGGUGGCAGACAUAUAAGCUUUAAUUUAAUUAAAUUUAUCUACUUUCAAUAUUUAAAAUGUCUUAAAACCUUAUUAAGAAGAGUUUUAUUACCUUUGUAGUUGUGCUAGGCUUAAACCCUAAUUACUUGACAACAUUAGGUGUUCAAAUGCAUUAUGAAUUAUAACAAAAGCAUAUUAAUUGACAUAUGUUGUCCCCACUCUAGUAAAGAUCAUUGUGACCCUAAUGUUGACGUAUCCACCAAUCUUUUUCAUUGUUGUGUUGUCAUUUUUGUUGUUAUAUUGAUUAGUUAAAGUCUUUACUUCAUUUACAUAUGUUUAUAUUCAACUCUAAUUACUAACAAGAUGUUGGUCUAGUGGUAUAAGGCUUCGUUAGAUCUCUAGAAUGAUCAAAAGGUCAAGAGUUCGAUUUCUAGGAACAACACUUGUUGAGAGGAGCAACCAUAAACUUUGAAAAAGAUUAGUUCAUUACCAUAAGGUGGGGAUACCCUUGGUAGUACCAAAAAAAAAAUAUAUUCAACUCUAAUUAGGUGUUUGGUUUUUAGUUAUACAUCAUUUUUGUUUUACCAUAUUGGUUGAAAAAUAAUAGCACCAUUGACAAUUAAGAGUGCUAAUUAAUAAACCAAAGUUGAUUAAUGAGAAUUGAAUAGGUAUUAAUGUAUCUAUGUACCAAGGUUUAGACAACUACAAAAUUUAUUUAUUUUAUUGAAAAUGAUCAUCUUGCAUCCUUUUUCCAAUAUCAUUUGUCAUCAUACUUACCUCAUUAUUAUUUAUCAUUUACUCAUUGUCAUUUUCAAAGCAAAAACUCUUGAUCAAUGGGUAAAAUAGAUGUAAAAAAUACAUGAAGAAAAGAGUUUGAGAAUAUUAUUACUCAUUUAUUUAACACUAUCAGCUUUUGUGACCCUUUGUAGUCACACAAGUACACUCUUAAAAAUUAGAUUAUUUAACAUUAUGUCUUUUCCAGCUUUUGUUACCCUUUAUAGUCACACAAGUAUACUCUUCAAAAUUUGACUAAUGCCAUUUAUUAUCUUGGCGCACUAGAAUUUAUAUGCUUGUUAAGUUUUGCAUGAGUAAUGCAAUGUAGAUUAUAUUAUUGGUGCAACUACGUACAUAUCUCAAUUAAUAUAUCCGCUUAUACUUUAGAGGUUGAAAUGGCCUUAAUAAAGUUUGUUCAUUCAAGUCAUAUAUGUUUCUUUACCAGAUGUUUCUGAAGUACACUUUGAAAUGUUUUGUAGAAAAUUUUCUUAUAGCUACUAAAAUCACUAUUUCCUAUUAACUUUGCAACUAUUCUGGAAGCUUUACUACUUGACACUAGUUCACUUGAGUGCAUGGUAAAGUUUUCAAAUCAAUGUUGAGUUUAUUCAAGUGUUAAGUCUCACAUUGAAUACGAGGGAAAAACGAAGUAGUUUAUAAGUAGAAAAUGUCUAUAAAAUUAAUACUUUUAAUGUUUUAGUUCAAGAUAUGAUGUUUCAUUUGUGGCUAUUCACUAUUUCCAUGUCUCGGUAACAACAAAACUCUCCAGUCAUAGUUUGAUCCAACAAGUGAUAUCAGAGCCAAUAGUUCGAUUGAGACAAUUAGUAGACUUAAGAGGGAGUGAACCAGAAAGUGUGUAGUUGCUACACAUGAAUGGUGAUUGUUGAGUUUAUUAAAGUGUGAAGUCUUAUACCCAUGACACUAAUACCUUAACUUUUAGUUUAAGAUAUGAUGUCUCACUUGUGCUUCCCACUGUGGUCCAACAAUAUUUCAUGACUGAAAUAUUACAAACCAUUUUUUGUGAUCUGUGUUUUUGUUACAUUUCACAUAUAAACAUGCAAGUGACUAAAUAAUUCAUAGAACUCAAAUAACAAUAUUCAUGGAACUCUCAUACUUUAUAUUUGAUUUGAACACACAGUGUAAAUAGAAGGAUUGAGCACGUUAUGUACUAUUAUGGAAACUAACAAACUAUUGCAUGUGCAGUUCACAAUUAACUUGUAUAGUCAUUGAACUAAUACAAGGAUUCAGCACAUUGUAUACUGUUUUUGCAAACAGGGAAAGUGACAACUAUGUUGUACUGUGUCAAUGUUCUUGCACGUGGAUAUAGGAAAUAUGUGGUUAUUAGUUAUUACUAGUUACUGCUUUGGUUACUUCAUUUCGAACAUUUGUUUCAAUAGUUACUUCAAUUUUGUUGUAUCUUGUCUUGUUAUGAGAUGCUUCUGCCACCAAAAAAUCUGUGUACACACAAAUUCAAAUGUAACUUGCUUUUUCCAUUGAGGUCUUAUUUCUUUUUUUUAUAUUUAUUAUUUACAUCUCACUUCUGAAAGUAAUUAGAGUAAAUUAUAUUGAC